rnacentral:rRNA from 1 species
GACGAACGCUGGCGGCGUGCCUAAUACAUGCAAGUUGAGCGCUGAAGGUUGGUACUUGUACCAACUGGAUGAGCAGCGAACGGGUGAGUAACGCGUGGGGAAUCUGCCUUUGAGCGGGGGACAACAUUUGGAAACGAAUGCUAAUACCGCAUAAAAACUUUAAACACAAGUUUUAAGUUUGAAAGAUGCAAUUGCAUCACUCAAAGAUGAUCCCGCGUUGUAUUAGCUAGUUGGUGAGGUAAAGGCUCACCAAGGCGAUGAUACAUAGCCGACCUGAAAGGGUGGUCGGCCACAUUGGGACUGAGACACGGCCCAAACUCCUACGGGAGGCAGCAGUAGGGAAUCUUCGGCAAUGGACGAAAGUCUGACCGAGCAACGCCGCGUGAGUGAAGAAGGUUUUCGGAUCGUAAAACUCUGUUGGUAGAGAAGAACGUUGGUGAGAGUGGAAAGCUCAUCAAGUGACGGUAACUACCCAGAAAGGGACGGCUAACUACGUG